rnacentral:rRNA from 1 species
AAGCGUGAGGUAAGGGCAUCUGGUGAAUGCCUUGGCAUGUACAGGCGAUGAAGGACGUGGCACGCUGCGAUAAGCGUGGGGGAGCUGUGAGCAGGCUUUGAUCCCGCGAUUUCCGAAUGGGACAACCCACCUUCACCAUUUAAGACUGGUCCUGAUGCAAAUCAGGCCCCGUGUUAAAUGGGAGAGGUAUCACUAAGCUGAAUAAAAUAGGCUUUGGUGAGGCGAACCCGGGGAACUGAAACAUCUCAGUACCCGGAGGAAAAGACAUCAACCGAGAUUCCGUUAGUAGUGGCGAGCGAACGCGGACCAGGCCAGUGCCUGGUAUUUAAUUAGCAGAACACUCUGGAAAGUGUGGCCAUAGCGGGUGACAGCCCCGUAUGCGAAAAUGAAAUAUCAGGACUUGAGUAGGGCGGGGCACGUGAAACCCUGUCUGAACAUGGGGGGACCACCCUCCAAGCCUAAAUACUCGUACAUGACCGAUAGCGAACCAGUACCGUGAGGGAAAGGUGAAAAGCACCCCGAUGAGGGGAGUGAAACAGUACCUGAAACCGGAUGCCUACAAGCAGUGGGAGGGUCCUUGAGACCUGACCGCGUACCUCUUGCAUAAUGGGUCUGUGACUUAGUGUAUCGAGCAAGCUUAAGCCGUUAGGUGUAGGCGCAGCGAAAGCGAGUCUGAACAGGGCGACCAUGAGUUCGAUGCAUUAGACCCGAAACCCGGCGAUCUAUGCAUGACCAGGUUGAAGGUGCGGUAACNNNNNNNNNNNNNNNNNNNNNNNNNNNNNNNNNNNNNNNNNNNNNNNNNNNNNNNNNNNNNNNNNNNNNNNNNNNNNNNNNNNNNNNNNNNNNNNNNNUACGCACUGGAGGACCGAACCGUUUAAUGUUGAAAAAUUAUCGGAUGAGUUGUGCUUAGGGGUGAAAGGCCAAUCAAGCCGGGAAAUAGCUGGUUCUCCGCGAAAUCUAUUGAGGUAGAGCGUCGGAUGAUUGCCGUUGGGGGUAGAGCACUGGAUGGAUGCGGGGGUCGCGAGAUCUACCAAUUCUAACCAAACUCCGAAUACCAACGAGUCUAGUCCGGCAGACAGACGGCGGGUGCUAAGGUCCGUCGUCAAAAGGGAAACAGCCCUAACCUACAGCUAAGGUCCCCAAGUCAUCACUAAGUGGGAAAGCAUGUGGAAUUUCCAAAACAACCAGGAGGUUGGCUUAGAAGCAGCCAUCCUUUAAAGAAAGCGUAACAGCUCACUGGUCUAAACAAGAGAUUCUGCGGCGAAGAUGUAACGGGGCUAAAGUGAUGCACCGAAGCUUAGGGUGUGAUCGUUUACGAUCACGCGGUAGCGGAGCGUUCCGUAGGCCGUUGAAGCGAUCUGGUAAUGGGUCGUGGAGGUAUCGGAAGUGCGAAUGCAGACAUGAGUAGCGAUUAACAGUGUGAGAUGCACUGUCGCCGAAAUUCCAAGGGUUCCUGCUUAAAGCUAAUCUGAGCAGGGUAAGCCGGCCCCUAAGACGAGCCCGAAGGGGGUAGUCGAUGGGAACCACGUUAAUAUUCGUGGGCCUGGAGGUGUGUGACGGAUGGCGUAAAUGGUCUGGCCUUAUUGGAUUGGUCCAGGCUGUGAAGUUGUCCCAGGAAAUAGCCCCUCCGUAUAGACCGUACCCUAAACCGACACAGGUGGAAUGGUAGAGUAUACCAAGGCGUUUGAGAGAAGUAUCCUGAAGGAACUCGGCAAAUUGCCUCCGUACCUUCGGAAGAAGGAGGCCCCACAUAUGCGCAAGCACUUGUGGGGGGCACAGGCCAGGGGGUAGCGACUGUUUAGCAAAAACACAGGGCUCUGCUAAGUCGGCUUCAAGACGACGUAUAGGGCCUGACGCCUGCCCGGUGCCUGAAGGUUAAGAGGAGGAGUGCAAGCUCUGAAUUGAAGCCCAGGUAAACGGCGGCCGUAACUAUAACGGUCCUAAGGUAGCGAAAUUCCUUGUCGGGUAAGUUCCGACCUGCACGAAUGGCGUAACGACUUCCCCACUGUCUCCAGGAUAUGCUCAGCGAAAUUGAAUUCUCCGUGAAGAUGCGGAGUACCCGCGGUUAGACGGAAAGACCCCGUGCACCUUUACUGCAGCUUCAGAGUGGCAUUAGGAAAGAACUGUGUAGCAUAGGUGGGAGGCUUUGAAGCGUGGGCGCCAGCCCGCGUGGAGCCAUAGGUGAAAUACCACCCUGUUGUUUUCUGAUGUCUAACCUCGCACCGUUAUCCGGUGCAGGGACCCUCUGUGGCGGGUAGUUUGACUGGGGCGGUCGCCUCCUAAAGAGUAACGGAGGCGCGCGAUGGUGGGCUCAGGCCGGUUGGAAACCGGCUGUUAGAGUGCAAUGGCAUAAGCCCGCCUGACUGCGAGACUGACAAGUCGAGCAGAGACGAAAGUCGGUCAUAGUGAUCCGGUGGUCCCUCGUGGAAGGGCCAUCGCUCAACGGAUAAAAGGUACGCCGGGGAUAACAGGCUGAUGAUUCCCAAGAGCUCAUAUCGACGGAAUCGUUUGGCACCUCGAUGUCGGCUCAUCACAUCCUGGGGCUGGAGCAGGUCCCAAGGGUUUGGCUGUUCGCCAAUUAAAGUGGUACGUGAGCUGGGUUCAGAACGUCGCGAGACAGUUUGGUCCCUAUCUGCCGUGGGCGUCGAAAUUUGAGAGGAGUUGACCCUAGUACGAGAGGACCGGGUUGAACAUACCUCUGGUGUACCUGUCGUUCCGCCAGGAGCGCAGCAGGGUAGCUAUGUAUGGACGGGAUAACCGCUGAAAGCAUCUAAGCGGGAAGCCUCCCUCAAGAUAAGAUUUCAUCGAGCCGUCGUAGACCACGACGUUGAUAGGCCGGAUGUGGAAGCGUGGUAACAUGUGAAGCUAACCGGUCCUAAUUGCUCUGUUCGCGCUUAA